AUUGAACGCUGGCGGCAGGCCUAACACAUGCAAGUCGAGCGGAUGAAGGGAGCUUGCUCCUGGAUUCAGCGGCGGACGGGUGAGUAAUGCCUAGUAAUCUGCCUGGUAGUGGGGGAUAACGUCCGGAAACGGGCGCUAAUACCGCAUACGUCCUGAGGGAGAAAGUGGGGGAUCUUCGGACCUCACGCUAUCAGAUGAGCCUAGGUCGGAUUAGCUAGUUGGUGGGGUAAAGGCCUACCAAGGCGACGAUCCGUAACUGGUCUGAGAGGAUGAUCAGUCACACUGGAACUGAGACACGGUCCAGACUCCUACGGGAGGCAGCAGUGGGGAAUAUUGGACAAUGGGCGAAAGCCUGAUCCAGCCAUGCCGCGUGUGUGAAGAAGGUCUUCGGAUUGUAAAGCACUUUAAGUUGGGAGGAAGGGCAGUAAGUUAAUACCUUGUUGUUUUGACGUUACCAACAGAAUAAGCACCGGCUAACUUCGUG
rnacentral:rRNA from 1 species